GUAUAAUGAUGAAAUCCAUGCGUGUCAACUGACUCUGGAACCCCCUGAGUGUUCUAGUUCCGCCUGUCAGCGUUCUGUUGGCUGGCGUGUUUCUAAACCUCAGGGCUCUGGAACUCAUGAUCAGAUUCCACACUGGCUGAAUAC